UUUCCGUAGGUGAACCUGCGGAAGGAUCAUUAUUGUAUAACCGAGGUGCGAGGGCUGUCGCUGACCCGAAAGGUCGUGCACGCCCGAGUGCCCUCACAAACAUCCAUCUCACCCCUAUGUGCACCACCGCGUGGGUCCCCCUUUGGCUUGUUCGGAGGGGGGCUUACGUUUUCACACAAACUUUGUAUGUAGUGUAGUAUGUAUUUUUUGUUUUUGCGAUCACGCAAUCAAUACAACUUUCAACAACGGAUCUCUUGGCUCUC
rnacentral:misc_RNA from 1 species